rnacentral:lncRNA from 1 species
GGGGGCCACCUGCAGACACACCCUGGCUUCGGGACCGUCUUCCUUCUCUUCCCCCUCGGGGCCUAGAGGAGGCCACGCGCGGGGUCUCCGAGCUCUAGGGUCCGGAGCUCUAGGGUCCUUUUAUGUAGCAAAGUCAGGCCUGGGAACAGAACUUCAUGUGCUUGUAAAAAGUCUCAGGUGCGUCCUCGUUGUUUUAGAGACUUGGAGAGGAAUGGGGGCGGGGGGAACAAAAUCCGAGGACAGUCGAGCCAAGAAAAGUCGGGGCUUCUAGGAUGCCAACCACGCCAAACAGAUCAAAACCAGGACUGGAGGACUGAAGAUGAAGCCGGCAAAAAGUCACCAGCCACGGCUCUUGUAAGGUAUGCUUCACCUCUCCUGCUAAGUCUUCAUCCCUGUCUAUGAGGACAAAGAAGUUACGGGUUAAAUUGGCGAUGGGCCAGGCGCUCCUUGAGGAUGCUCUAAAGUUCCAGGGAAUCUGAUGCCUUCUUCUAACCAUCACGAAGACAAGGUUGGUGAUAGAAAAUGGGAGAACUGAAGACAACCACUUUAUAAAACCCUUGCCUGCUUGAAUUUGUGGUGAUGAGCUGUCAGAAGACACCGGCACAGGAAGUGAAGGGGCAGGAUCGCCACUCCUCCCAGUUUGCUCUGAACUGUGAGCCCCACUGAAAGGGUCAGCUUUCUUUGGUGCUCUGGCUCAGACAGCACUGUCACG